ensembl:misc_RNA Metazoa_SRP Metazoan signal recognition particle RNA
GCUGGGCGUGGUGACAUACACCUGUAAUCCUAGCUACUUGGGGGCUGAGGUGGGAGGAUCACUUGAGCCCAGGAGGUCUAGGCUGUCGUGGGCUGAGAUGGUGCCACUGCACUCCAGCCUGGGCGACAGAGCGAGACCCUGUCUCAA